rnacentral:rRNA from 1 species
CCCUUAGAUGUUCUGGGCUGCACGCGCGCUACACUGAUGCACUCAACGAGUUUACGAGCUUGUCCGAGAGGAUUGGCUAAUCUUUUCAAAAUGCAUCGUGAUGGGGAUAGAUUAUUGCAAUUAUUAAUCUUCAACGAGGAAUUCCUAGUAAGCGCGAGUCAUCAGCUCGUGCUGAUUACGUCCCUGCCCUUUGUACACACCGCCCGUCGCUCCUACCGAUUGAGUGCUCAGGUGAAUAAUUCGGACUGCAGCAGUGUUUGGAUCCCGAACGCUGCAGCGGAAAGUUUAGUGAACCUUNUNACUUAGNGGAAGGAGAANUCGUANCA